GGGACAAUUCCGUCAUAUAAAAUUUGAAACGCCUGCGAGUGAAAUUGGACUCACAGACUCGCUGCUCAUUAGCCUUCUCACGGGAAAGAAAAGGUAGAAAUGGAUGAAGAGGAAUUUCGACGCCUUCUUGAUCUCUUCCCUGUUGUCCGACCUCGCGAUUACCAUAUUGACCUCGAUCCAUCUGGGCAAUCCACUACGCGGCCAACGCAGGAUGACGAUGUGAAGAAAUGGCAGGACGCAUGGGAGGAGCAGGAGGGGGAUCAAAAAGAAACAAGCAAUCAAACUAUUGAUUUACACGAUGCAUUCUGGGAGAAGCUGAAGUUGGCAGCUGAGAAGAAGGUAUAGUUCUCGCUUUUAAUUACUUAUAAGAAGCAGUUUUAUAGGUGUAUUUACUGGUUCAAGUCAUAAUCAUACAAACAGUACGAGAUGCAAUUUGUUAUGAACAUUCUUUGAGCUUAUAGGAGAUCAUUAUGUCGUAUGAAAAAGAAAUGAAGUUGCUUUUAUGUCCCCUCGAAUUUGAAAUAUAUAACCCCAUAUGCAAUGAAGAGUUUUGACUUGUAAAGAGGAAAUAUUUGAAUUUGAGGAGACAUUCAUUAUUAGGCAGCACAUUUGUCAAUAUUACUUUUUCUAUUUUCAGCAUGGUUUAAUGCCCUCCUUUUUGAUUUGUUGUUUUUUGAUGUAGACAGAGAGUUGAAAGUAAUCUUUUUUUGUGUUAAUGAAUAACUCUUUGAUGGCAUAGGACUAUUAAUAAUGAUAGUACUUAUUCACCAUUGUGCAAACCAUGAACACCACUAGGGUACCAAAUCAAUUAUACAUCAUUAGUUUCAAUUGUGAGCAUUGGAGUUAUAACUAUUGUAUGUUUUCUAGCUUAAUUGGUACCCACACCUGAGAGAAGCAAGUUCAAUCCACUCUUCUGCUGUGAAAACAAAGAAAGGAAAAGGAAAAGAUGCAUUCCUUGUGGAGGUUCUUGUGUUUUGAAAAUAUUCAUAUGGGGUGUGUUUGGAAAGUCUAAAAAUAAAAGAAUUCGAUUCAAUUGAACUCUAUUUGAAGAAUUUUCAUGUUUGAAAAGUUUAAAAUUGCUAGAAUUUAAUUCUCAUAGUUAAAAAAAAAAGUCAUUUUGGAAGAAAUGAAUUCAUGCUAGAAGUGGCAUGAUUUUAUAAGAAUUUAAUUCAUUUAAUAAUGUUAUAUAUUGAAAACCCAACACACCCCUGCUUAAGUUAUAUUUAUUAAUUUGUAAACAAGGCAAAAUAAUGAAAUAACUAUAUUUAUUUUACUUAUCAAAUUUUCUAAAUGAUUUUUAUCAUUUUAAAAUUUACUUCAAAGUUCAAACAUAUGAAUUUUCUAAUUAAAUCAUUCAAUUUGAAUUGUAUCACAAAAAUCAUUUCAAACAGGGUGAUUAAGUUGUUGGUAUCAAGCCAUCUUUGAUAAAUAUGAACAACUGUAGAUAGAUGGGACGUUAUAUUGCCAUUUCUAUUUAUUUUUGGUUAUUUAAGGGUUGUGGCAAGGGUUUUCAAUAAAGGAAUGUGGUAGCAUACUUACAUGCCAAAAUGUAUUGCUGAUGAUGAUGCCCUUGAAAUGAUUUUUUACAGUUGAAGAACACACUGUUAUAUGUAAUGUCAUGUUCAAGUUGUGAAAUAGCAGUGAGAGUAAUAUCCAUAUUGAAUGCAGACCAUGAGAAUGUAGAUCAAACAGUUCAAGUGAAUUGCAUUGAUUUUGGUCUUAAGUUGUUCAGAAAUUGCUUAAUUUAAGUUCAAAAUUAGGUCACUCUGGAAUGGGUUGUUGGACUUAGUGUAAGAAUUAAGAUUGAAGUUCCAGUGACUCGUGAUAAAUAUUUUGUAAUGCAGUCUGCAUUCCAUAGAUGUUUUGAAGCUGGCAUGUAAUGACUCUUGCAAUUACUUGUAGCAUUUGGAUAGGUUUUUAGUGGUGUAACCUUGUCGUCUAUGCAAAAGGGGAAACAUGAGUUCAUUUUGUGGAAUACUAAUUAGAUCAAAGCAGUCACUGUUGUGAUGAUGAUUUGUUGAAGGUUUAUCUUGAUAAGAUUUGGUAUCAUCUCUGUAACUUGAAGCAUUUUAAUGAAGCUUGAUUGUUUAAAACUUGAUUCGACUUAGUUGUUUAAUGGACAGAUGCAUUUAUAAUAUGUGAAGAAAGGAGUUGGUUUUAUAGUUAGGGUCAUUUGCCGCCUUACUUGCUCAGGGCCAGGAAAGAAUCCUUAGAGAGAUUAUUUGGGCAUAUCCUCUUUCACCAUGAAAGCAUCCAGAAUGUCAAAGCUAGAGCUUUUAAAAAAAAAGGGGGGAAAAAGAAUUGUUUUAUUUGCUAAUGAAGAGUGGAAUAUUUUCUAUUAAUUAAUUUUUAUGUGCUUGUGGAUUUGUAGAUGGGUGCAGCAGAGGCAAAGAAAUUUUGUAAUGCUUUUCAACAAGUUCACAGGCGACUAGUAUACGAAGAGCUGAGUUUGGAUGCUGCCCGUAGCAUUAUAAACUCAACAAGAAGUUCAGGAGAACAGCUUUCUUCGUAGCUGUAUAUUCACUCUCUCUCGUGUUGCUUACGCAGUUGGAAACUAUUAUCUUUUGAUUGUGAUUAGUUUCUAAUGAGCUGUCUUUUUUAUUAUUCUUAUUUUCUUUAAGCGUUUUCUUUUAUGAUAUGCAUGACUAGAGGGGGAAUGAAAGGGAAUCUCUUAUCAAUUUUAUGAUUAGGACAAUUUAAUUGUAAAUUUUUUAAAGCAACGUUAGGGGCGCAACUCUUCACUUCGAUUUUCCUCCAAAGUUAUUGCUUAAAUCCAAAGAAGAUCCAUCUCUUUUUCCAAGUCCAAUAAUACUAAUUUAACUAAUCUAUAUCAUAUGUUUGAAGGGAGUGGGGAAGUAUUGGUUUUGUCCAAAAUACCUUUAAUAAUUUGUG
rnacentral:misc_RNA from 1 species